GGACCAGAUGGCUCUGGAUCAGGAGACUUGAUUCCAAGUCACCUCAGAUAUUGCUUGUCUUCCGUCUUCUAGGCCUUUCGUCACCCUCAAGCUCAUAAAACCCCGAGGAAGCUAUGACUUCGUCACUUUACGACCUCGCUUCAUUUCCUGUUCUGAGGACAUUGCUCUGUGCGAAUGACCUCAGAACUGCCUAGAAGCCGAGAGCUGUGUCGUCUGGCUUCAGACGUUGAGCUGUGCUUCAAGUUCCAGCCUCAAAGUGGUGACACUCCUCCAGCCCCUUGGACCAUGCGGAGACCUGCACCACCUACCUACAUCUCUAUGUCUGGGCCAGCAGUGUUGCCUGGCUUCUUGGCAAAUCCCUGGUUUGCUUGGUUCUGGGUAGGUAACCUGUGCCCAGAAGAGUGAGCCAUCUCAGGAUGUCCUCAGAUGAAGGAAGACGACACAGCUCAUAUCCUGGAGGGGAGCAGGAAGUCCAAGCUGAACCCUCCCACAGAGGUCCUCGAUUGAGUAGAGCUACCCCAGGGCAGUGUGGACAGUGGGAGAAGUCCUGAGCUAAUGUGUGCUGUGGUCAUGUCAGGGACUGCGGUGCCUCAGACCAAGAGAAUGGCAAAGCCUUUCCUGAGUGAGGCUCAGAGGGAAGGAAGCCUCCUCUGUCCUGACCUGGAAUGCUGACAGUAUGUGUACAAACUGUCAACUACAGCUUCCUCCUCCCUGGUGACCCCAGCCUGAGACUGUGCCCCUACAGAGACCCUGUUCUCAGAUCAGCUAAAUCUGCCUCCUUGUUCAGCCAAAUGCCAUAAACUCCCUGAUUCAGAUAUAAAA
rnacentral:lncRNA from 1 species